rnacentral:rRNA from 1 species
UAGAGGUGGGGAUAACGUAGACGAAAGUUACGCUAAUACCGCAUACGCACUAAGGUGGAAAUGGGGGGAUCUUCGGACCUCAUGCUCAUGGAGUGGCCGAUAUCUGAUUAGCUAGUUGGUGAGGUAAAGGCUCACCAAGGCGACGAUCAGUAGCUGGUUUGAGAGAACGACCAGCCACACUGGAACUGAGACACGGGUCCAGACUCCUACGGGAGGCAGCAGUGGGGAAUUUUGGACAAUGGGGGCAACCCUGAUCCAGCAAUGCCGCGUGAGUGAAGAAGGCCUUCGGGUUGUAAAGCUCUUUUGUCAGGGAAGAAACGGUGAGUUCUAAUAAAGCUUGCUAAUGACGGUACCUGAAGAAUAAGCACCGGCUAACUACGUG